rnacentral:rRNA from 1 species
UACAGAGGGGGCAAGCGUUGCUCGGAAUCACUGGGCGUAAAGCGCACGUAGGCGGAUCUUUAAGUCAGGGGUGAAAUCCUGGAGCUCAACUCCAGAACUGCCUUUGAUACUGGGGAUCUCGAGUCCGGAAGAGGUGAGUGGAACUCCGAGUGUAGAGGUGAAAUUCGUAGAUAUUCGGAAGAACACCAGUGGCGAAGGCGACACACUGGCCCAUUACUGACGCUGAGGCUCGAAAGCGUGGGGAGCAAACAGG